rnacentral:tRNA from 1 species
AAUAAGGUGCCUGAUUAAAGGAUUAUCUUGAUAGGAUAAAUAAAGUGUAUAUUCACCCUUAUUA